UACGUAGGGUGCAAGCGUUAAUCGGAAUUACUGGGCGUAAAGCGUGCGUAGGCGGUUUGAUAAGUCGGGUGUGAAAGCCCCGGGCUUAACCUGGGAAUUGCAUUCGAUACUGUCUGACUCGAGUCUGGGAGAGGGAAGCGGAAUUCCGGGUGUAGCGGUGAAAUGCGUAGAUAUCCGGAGGAACAUCAGUGGCGAAGGCGGCUUCCUGGCCUAAGACUGACGCUGAGGUACGAAAGCGUGGGGAGCAAACAGG
rnacentral:rRNA from 1 species